ACGAGCGCUGGCGGCAUGCCUAACACAUGCAAGUCGAACGAGACCUUCGGGUCUAGUGGCGCACGGGUGCGUAACGCGUGGGAACCUGCCCUUAGGUUCGGAAUAACUCCCCGAAAGGGGUGCUAAUACCGGAUAAUGUCUUCGGACCAAAGAUUUAUCGCCUUUGGAUGGGCCCGCGUUGGAUUAGCUAGUUGGUAGGGUAAAAGCCUACCAAGGCGACGAUCCAUAGCUGGUCUGAGAGGAUGAUCAGCCACACUGGGACUGAGACACGGCCCAGACUCCUACGGGAGGCAGCAGUGGGGAAUAUUGGACAAUGGGCGAAAGCCUGAUCCAGCAAUGCCGCGUGAGUGAUGAAGGCCUUAGGGUUGUAAAGCUCUUUUACCCGGGAUGAUAAUGACAGUACCGGGAGAAUAAGCUCCGGCUAACUCCGUG
rnacentral:rRNA from 1 species